UGCCCUCAAGAGUUUUUGGGAGGC
rnacentral:piRNA from 1 species